GAGGAAAGUCCGGAAUCCAUAUAGAAAAUAGAUGCUGAAUAAAUUUCAGUGUAAGUAAUUACGAGGAAAGUGCCACAGAAAUAAACCGCUUAUUUGUUUAAGUAAGGGUGCAAUGGUGUAUUAAAAGUGCACCAGAAGUAUUUUUAAGAUACUUGCUAGGUAAACCCCAUUUAGGAGCAAAGUGAUUUUUGAAAAAAUAACUAUAUUUUUCAUUUUUAGUUACCGCAAUAAGUCUUAUUAAUUAUUUUGUAUGUUACUACAGAUAAAUAACUACCCUUUUGUUAUUGCUUUAUUGAUAAAAAAUGAAAGAACAAAAUCCGGCUUAU
rnacentral:RNase_P_RNA from 1 species